UAUAAGUGCAGUUGUGGAUUUUCAUGUUCAACACCUGUUUUAUUUAAUUUUUUUUAUAGUUAGCAUUUUAAUUGUUAUUAGAUGAUAAAACAUAUAUAAUACUUUAUGUGUGACUUACUUUUUAAAAUUUUUUAUAAACUUUUUAAAUAGAUCGAGCGGUCAAACAUAGGGUACGAAAACCGACAACUAUACUUAAA
rnacentral:pre_miRNA from 1 species